rnacentral:sRNA from 1 species
CUCCCAGCCAUAGCGUAUUCUCCUGAAAAUGGGGUUAAACGUUUGCUAAGCCUGAUUUACACCGAAUAGCAGAUAUCACGGAAGUUCAGGCGAAGGAAACAGGGAAUCAACAAAUAAUUAGCGGAGGAUUUUGUCCGAUCUAUAGCAAAAGGGGAAGAGGCAAAUUGCGCAACCGAUGAAUUCCAGUAAGAUUUACGCUAUUUUUAUGGGGAAUAGCGUAAUAGACGCUGAAAUAAGAGAAUAACCAAAGGAACUGACAAUAUGAACGCUGAAUUAAAAUACGCAUUAAUUACGACCAUAGCCGCAUUAGGCGUUAUCGUCAUUGGUGCGUUAACUGCCGUUACUCAUUAAU